CUCACAGAUUUGGUCACAUUUGCUAAUAAUUUCAAAGGAAAGGAAAAAUUAUUGUCAGCACUCUGGUUCUUGGAUGGAGACAUGGCAGAAUAAUCUCUUUGCUGUGUCCAGGAGCUGAGCUGCUGCAGAAUUCAUCAGGAGUAUGGCAAGUCUGGCAAAUCCCGGCUCCUGGAAGAAUUUCAGCUCCAGUUUUCCAGCUGGCAGGGAACGACCCAUCCUGCAGGUGUCAGCACAUCCUGGUGGUGCAGAGGCAGGACCAGCUCCAGCAAUAUUUCCUGAGUUGAAUUACCCUCUGAGAUGUCUCAGAUGUGGAACAGCUCAGCUGAACUCAGGAUGUGGC
rnacentral:lncRNA from 12 species